AACUGCGGACGGCUCAUUAUAACAGUAAUAGUUUCUUUGGUUAGUAAAAUACAAGGAUAGCUUUGUGAAUGAUAAAGAUAAUACUUGAGACGAUCCAGUUUGUAUUAGUACAAAAUGGCCAAUUCAUUCAAUGAAUUGAGAAAUGACAUUCUAAGUGAGUUAGGAUGCCACGACAAUUGUAGAACACACAGUGUUUAACAAGUAACCAAUGAGAAUUUCUGAUCUAUCAAUCAGUUGGUAGUAUCGAGGACUACCAAGAUUAUAACGGAUAACGAGGAAUUGGGGUUCGACAUCGGAGAGGGAGCUUUACAGAUGGCUACCACUUCUAAGGAAGGCAGCAGGCGCGUAAA
rnacentral:rRNA from 1 species